rnacentral:rRNA from 1 species
AUUGAACGCUGGCGGCAUGCCUUACACAUGCAAGUCGAACGGCAGCACGGGUGCUUGCACCUGGUGGCGAGUGGCGAACGGGUGAGUAAUACAUCGGAACAUGUCCUGUAGUGGGGGAUAGCCCGGCGAAAGCCGGAUUAAUACCGCAUACGAUCUACGGAUUAAAGCGGGGGACCUUCGGGCCUCGCGCUAUAGGGUUGGCCGAUGGCUGAUUAGCUAGUUGGUGGGGUAAAGGCCUACCAAGGCGACGAUCAGUAGCUGGUCUGAGAGGACGACCAGCCACACUGGGACUGAGACACGGCCCAGACUCCUACGGGAGGCAGCAGUGGGGAAUUUGGGACAAUGGGCGAAAGCCUGAUCCAGCAAUGCCGCGUGUGUGAAGAAGGCCUUCGGGUUGUAAAGCACUUUUGUCCGGAAAGAAAUCCUUGGCCCUAAUACGGUCGGGGGAUGACGGUACCGGAAGAAUAAGCACCGGCUAACUACGUG